rnacentral:rRNA from 1 species
GCUCGUCUAAAGCCCAAAAACUAACCCAAAUACCACACUACACACACCCAAACCAUUUUGCUCCGAUAGUAGAUGCGAUCGAACCCGCCCAUUGACGCAAUAGAAAAGUACUGUGAAGGAAAAAUGAAAGAAGUGAAACCCUAAGCCCAGCAGAGCAGGGCUGGACCCCCGUACCUUUUGCAUCAUGAUUUAGCAAGCACACCAAGACAAAAUGAUCUAUAGCCUUUCCCCCGAAAACAAGUGAUCUACUUCUUGGCAGUUUUAUGAGCGAACUCGUCUCUGUGGCAAUAGAGUGAGAAGACCCAGAAGUAGCGGCCAAAAACCAAACGAACUUGUUGAUAGCUGGUUAUCUGACAGCGAAUUUUAGUUCACACCCAACAACAACCACAACUUUAUGUCUUACCCUUAUGUUGGAACAUAGUCCACGGGGGCACAGCUCCGUGGACACCGGAUACAGCCAAAAGUAGAGAAAACCAGCCUAAACUAAUACUCGUAGGCCUUAAAACAGCCACCAUUAAAUAUCACGUCACAGUAAUCUAAGGAAAAAUACCAUUAAAAUCAAAUACUUCCUACUCUUUUUCCCCCCAGAUAAUUCUACACCCAUGUAGAAGAACCGAUGCUAGAAUUAGUAAUUAGAACCUAUCUAACGACAGAAUUGUUUUUACACCCAGACCAACUAACACCGACAAAACCUACACACCACACCAAAAACACUGUAUACCCAACAACGGGCUGUCCACCAAUCGGCAUAAAAUCCUAAAAGGAACUCGGCAACCCCCUUCUCCAACUGUUUACCAAAAACAUAGCUUCUAGCCAAACAUGUAUUAGAAGUCACGCCUGCCCUGUGGAACCAUCUAAACGGCCGCGGCACAAAACCGUGCAAAGGUAGCACAAUCACUUGUCCCUUAAAUGAGGACCCGUAUGAAAGGCACCAUGAGAGAAGACCUGUCUCCUAGGAGCCGCCAACGAAAUUGAACGAUCAGUACAAAAGCUGAUAUGAAAAAGCAAGACAAAAAGACCCCGUGGAACUUUAACAAAUUACUUACACAAAUAAAUAAUAGUUUCAGUUGGGACAACUUUAGAAAAAAUUAACCUCAUCAAACACUCAGACCCACAAGUCUCUUUCCCCGAUCCAGUAACACUGAUUAACGAAAUAAGCUACCCCGGGGAUAACAGCGCCACCUUCUCAAAGAGUCCAUAUCAACAAGAAGAUCUACGACCUCGAUGUUGGAUCAGGGUACCCCGACGGUGCAGUAGCUGUCAACGGUUCGUUUGUUCAACGACUAACACCCUACGCGAUCUGAGUUCAGACCGGAGUAAUCCAGGUCGGCCUUUAUCUGCUACAAGCUUUCAUCAGUACGAAAGGACCAUCAAAGCAAGACUAAUGCCACAGGCACAUCUUCUGAAAAUAGUGAACAAAACUCAAACUAAAACAACACCUCUUUACCCUCAAGUUAAGAGCGCACCAGCCUAGCUGGUGCCAA